rnacentral:rRNA from 1 species
UACGAAGGGGGCUAGCGUUGCUCGGAAUCACUGGGCGUAAAGCGCACGUAGGCGGACUCUUAAGUCGGUGGUGAAAUCCUGGAGCUCAACCCCGGAACUGCCUUUGAUACUGGUAGUCUCGAGUCCGGAAGAGGUGAGUGGAAUUCCGAGUGUAGAGGUGAAAUUCGUAGAUAUUCGGAGGAACACCAGUGGCGAAGGCGGCUCACUGGUCCGGUACUGACGCUGAGGUGCGAAAGCGUGGGGAGCAACAG